AUCAUCAAUAUUCACUACUAACUGAAACAAUGAUGUAGGAAACAAAAAACAUUUUCUCUCACCUAAAAUGAAUUUAAUAAUGUAGCAAUAAUAUACAUGCAACAAGCCAACAACCACUCGGCAUGCAUUUCCCAGAGCUAGCAACACUAACAAAUAAGACGCUCAGUCAUACCUGUCCCAAGCUUCUGGCAGAGGAUUCCUUCCUUCACUGAAGGAAAUAUGCCGCUGCCAUCACCAAAAAACCGGGACAUGCACCUUUUUCCUCCUUAGUGAACAUCACCCAACCUCAUCCCAUUUGUCGACCUCCUUGAUCUGCACCUCUACCAGGGACGCAACUCCCCUUAUACCUGAUGAUGAGAGGAGGGUAGAAAACUAUGGGUGCACAAAGGAGACAAAGACAAAUCUUGGCAACAUAUAUCAAGCAGAACGAAACAAGCAAGCUCACAUUACUUCCAACUUAUGUUGUGUAACUGUGUCGUGAGAUUUAAUUAUUCAGAUUCAGGCCAAACACCGGUAGAGUGGUACUGGAAUGUUCUACUUGCGGAUGACCUUUAACAGUAAUAGAAUACAGAAUUUGAGCAAGUAGUUUAACGGGAUACCCUUACAAUUGCUAAGUAAGGUAAAUAAACACCGCCCUCAAAGUUUUAAAGAGUUUCAAGUGAACAAUUCGCUGAUUCUUUCAGUAUAAUACAGAUAUCUCUGAAGUUUACGCAAAGAAGAAUGGAUAAACAUGAUACUAACAGUACGCUAACCUGAUACAUGGUUCAAAAUGAUAAAGCCGCAUCUGCGUAUUAGUGUAAAUAUGACCUUCCAAGUAUCAGCAGCAAUUUCUAUAGGUGUCGUAUCACACUUUUAUGUACAGAAAUGACCAAGGGGAAAAUAUUUAUGGAGGAUGAUCACAAUGUGUCACAUAGUAGGAUGCGUCCAAAUAUCAUGUUCUGUGACCAACCGGAUAUCAAGAUUCUUAGGAUAAGAGAAUCAUAUCCCUUUCUAAAACGACUAUACCCAAAUCGAAAGACCUAACAAACAAUCUGAAAGAUUAGUACAUGUUGUUGUUUGCAUACCUUCAAAAUAUAUUCUUUGAGCUUCAAACUCAUGGAUUUAUCCAAUGCAUUGUAUGCAAUUUCGUAAAUAAUGAAAUGGCUUUCUGGACCUACAAUCUUGUCCUUUAGCAACACAGAGAUCUAACCAGGCACUAAAGAAUCAGUACACAAGCUAAUUGUCACUGAGCGCUUGACUGGCUUUAGCAAGCUUGCUAUUUAAUCCAAAUAUCAUCUCUAGAUAAUGUGGUUGUGGAAAUACAAUUAUGAUCUCACCUUCAUCAUUUCCUCGCCAGUAAAGGUCAUCAUUUGUUGAACCUUGCAAAUGCCUACACCAAAUCCGAUUCUCCAAUGUUAAACAAUCUGCAAGCAAAUCAUCAUAGUUUUCACAGAACUGACAUGGAAUUAUUUAC
rnacentral:lncRNA from 1 species